rnacentral:rRNA from 1 species
GACGAACGCUGGCGGCGUGCUUAACACAUGCAAGUCGAACGGGAGUAUUGAAGAAGCUUGCUUUAGAGAUACUUUAGUGGCGGACGGGUGAGUAACACGUGGGCAACCUGCCUUGGAGUGGGGGAUAACACCGGGAAAUCGGUGCUAAUACCGCAUAACAUACACAUACUGCAUAGUGAGUGUAUCAAAGGAGCAAUCCGCUUUAAGAUGGGCCCGCGUCUGAUUAGCUAGUUGGUAAGGUAACGGCUUACCAAGGCGACGAUCAGUAGCCGACCUGAGAGGGUGACCGGCCACACUGGAACUGAGACACGGUCCAGACUCCUACGGGAGGCAGCAGUGGGGAAUAUUGCGCAAUGGGGGGAACCCUGACGCAGCAACGCCGCGUGGAGGAAGAAGGUCUUCGGAUUGUAAACUUCUUUGAUGAGGGACGAAUAAAGUGACGGUACCUCAAAAACAAGCCAACGGCUAACUACGUGCCAGCAGCCGCGGUAAACAUACUCGUUA